rnacentral:rRNA from 1 species
CCGCCAGACUCCUACGGGAGGCAGCAGUGGGGGAUAUUGCACAAUGGGGGAAACCCUGAUGCAGCGACGCCGCGUGAGUGAAGAAGUAUUUCGGUAUGUAAAGCUCUAUCAGCAGGGAAGAAGAUGACAGUACCUGAGUAAGAAGCCCCGGCUAACUACGUGCCAGCAGCCGCGGUAAUACGUAGGGGGCAAGCGUUAUCCGGAUUUACUGGGUGUAAAGGGAGCGUAGACGGCAGUGCAAGUCCGGAGUGAAAGCCCGGGGCUCAACCCUGGGACUGCUCUGGAAACUGUAAAGCUGGAGUGCGGGAGGGGCAGGCGGAAUUCCUGGUGUAGCGGUGAAAUGCGUAGAUAUCAGGAGGAACACCGGCGGCGAAGGCGGCCUGCUGGACCGUAACUGACGUUGAGGCUCGAAAGCGUGGGGAGCAAGCAGGAUUAGAUACCCUGGUAAG